UCUUCCCAGACUUUUUGUUUUCUUCUUUCCUUUUUCUUUUUUCUUAGACAGGCAAACAGACAGGCA
rnacentral:ribozyme from 11 species